rnacentral:tRNA from 1 species
GGGGAGUUGGCCGAGAGGUUGAAGGCAGCGGCUUUGAACACCGCAAAGGGCAGGGAUGUCCUUCGGGGGUUCGAAUCCCUCACUCCCCACCA